UGGAGCCCCCUGGGCUGUGGGAAAGCUUUCAUACAAGUGGCACCAGUGAGUGGCCUCGAUGGAGGCCAAGCUGGAGGGACUAAGUUCAGCAGAGAGGAUCACCCAUGGAUGGACCAUCACAGGCUUUGCUGUCUGCAAAGGCAGCAUAAAGGGCAAUGUCCUGUUUUGGGGUGGCUGCCAGGGCUUGGAGGCUUUCAGGACAGAGACACCUGUAGAUGUUCCCCAGCUUCAUCUGCUCAUCCCCCACUCCUGACUCACCCAGGUGCCAAGAGACAUCCCUAACUCACGAGGAGAACUGUGAAAGGCAAUUGUAGAAAAAACCCAAGGUUUGAGCAACCAUCCUCAGGAAAAGAAGAAAGACAGGAAAAAAAACAAAUCGCCUAAAAAGCCCCCAACUUAAUUCCCUGUCUGAGCACCUCAACCAGAUGACAAAAUGGCUUUAACUUGGAGCAAAUGGGCUGAAUGUAGAAAGUACAACUUUUACCACAUACAGCAACCACCAACAGGCACAGAGAAUAAAUGGGGAGGAGAAGGCUACAUGAAGAUGAAAGAGAAAUUUACCCCAAUAGUGAGCUUUCAAAAAG